rnacentral:rRNA from 1 species
AGAGUUUGAUCAUGGCUCAGGAUGAACGCUGACGGCGUGCCUAACACAUGCAAGUCGAGCGAUUCUCUUCGGAGAAGAGCGGCGGACGGGUGAGUAACGCGUGGGUAACCUGCCCUGUACACACGGAUAACAUACCGAAAGGUAUGCUAAUACGAGAUAAUAUGCUUUUAUCGCAUGGUAGAAGUAUCAAAGCUCCGGCGGUACAGGAUGGACCCGCGUCUGAUUAGCUAGUUGGUAAGGUAACGGCUUACCAAGGCGACGAUCAGUAGCCGACCUGAGAGGGUGAUCGGCCACAUUGGAACUGAGACACGGUCCAAACUCCUACGGGAGGCAGCAGUGGGGAAUAUUGCACAAUGGGCGAAAGCCUGAUGCAGCAACGCCGCGUGAGCGAUGAAGGCCUUCGGGUCGUAAAGCUCUGUCCUCAAGGAAGAUAAUGACGGUACUUGAGGAGGAAGCCCCGGCUAACUACGUGCCAGCAGCCGCGGUAAUACGUAGGGGGCUAGCGUUAUCCGGAAUUACUGGGCGUAAAGGGUGCGUAGGUGGUUUCUUAAGUCAGAGGUGAAAGGCUACGGCUCAACCGUAGUAAGCCUUUGAAACUGGGAAACUUGAGUGCAGGAGAGGAGAGUGGAAUUCCUAGUGUAGCGGUGAAAUGCGUAGAUAUUAGGAGGAACACCAGUUGCAAAGGCGGCUCUCUGGACUGUAACUGACACUGAGGCACGAAAGCGUGGGGAGCAAACAGGAUUAGAUACCCUGGUAGUCCACGCCGUAAACGAUGAGUACUAGCUGUCGGAGGUUACCUCCUUCGGUGGCGCAGCUAACGCAUUAAGUACUCCGCCUGGGAAGUACGCUCGCAAGAGUGAAACUCAAAUGAAUUGACGG